rnacentral:misc_RNA from 1 species
UGGGGCUUCUGUCCAAUUAAGGACUCAGCUAAUCCACACCCUCUGGUUAAUACCAGAAUUCGUGGAGCUGAAGAAAGAUUGGAUAGUUGCUUAGGGAAACGUGGAGGUUCUAUUACGUGAGUAAUACGACCCAUUCACUUAGUACGGCUUGCUCUAUCCGGGUGCGAUUUGCUAGUUCUGAAAAGGACGACACAACCCUCUGAGAUAGAAAGCUAAUGGCGAACAAGUAUCUACUACCCCGCAAGGGACGAUUAGAAGCUUAGUAGCCUCCGCACAUCCUACGGGAUAAAACUUGCUGCAUUAGUAAGAGAAUAUUUAGAAGCGAGUAGGCAGAAGGUUAAUAAACCUUGCUACCUUCGGGUAGAAAAGGAAUCCUGUUCGGAACUCCAGUUCAGGACCCGCCAUCAUCAUUAAUACGGUGAUGUUACUGCUUGCCUAUAAGUAUUCUUCUUUCUACUGUAACCGUCAGCCGGCCUGUAAUACUAAUAUGAACAAAACAAACUUAAACCAAAAAGGGAUAAAUCUGUUGGCUCUAUUAAGUACUAAGUACGUGGAGGUUUCUAAAAUGAUACCGCUUUCCGAUAAAAUCGGAACUACACUAUUCAAACCAUUGGGAUACAAUAACAUGUUAUCUCAUGGUAGAAUAGGUAGAUUGGCAAGUGGGAUAAGAAAAACGAAUUUCUUUAUAAGCUUUACACUGAACAUGUGGAGAACACACGGGACAACCUUUACCAUAAAAUGGUUGAAAGGAUGCUCCGUGGCUAUCCAAAAAUGUCUAGGUAAAGAUAUAUUGAAAUCUCUAAGAGUCUUGACACCAGAUCUUCCUUUGAAUGGGUUGUCACGUGGACUUCCAAGAAUUAUACCUGUUGAAGACAGAGUAAAAAUUCGAAGAGGACACGUACCAACAAUCCGAUUCUGGCUCGGGUUAUUUAACCUUUACCGGGUGCUAAAAGCGCCCAGCGAGCUGAAAUUGGGAACCAUUACUAAUAAAUUUACUGGGGAUAGAGAUGGGUUACGAGCUUUGAUGCGAUUUGCAUUGAAGUUCAACCCUUUCGUCGAAUUUAAUAAAUUAGACAAAAAGUCUCUAGCUCCCACUAAGUUUAUUAUGUCUAGAUCGGCUUCGCCGUCUAACAAAGUGUCUUGGUUUGGGAUCUUAACAGAUACCCGACUUCUUAGAGAAGGAUCUCCCAGAUUAUGGGAAAACAUCCAAGCUUACCUAACCAUGGUAGGGGCAGACCAGUUCAGAUUUGAUCUGGAUUAUGCUUGCUCUCUUGCAGAUCGACUUAAAUCAUUUGAUGAUAAAGUUGAUUCGCAGGGUCAAUGGAUAAGACAAGUCUCGAAAUCGGGACAAGUUCUUACUCAAGUUGACUCAAUGAAAUCGAAAGAUUCCAUUAGAGGUCAUGGUAUUGGUCCUGGACUUGGUCUUUCGCAAUUUGCGCUCAAAGAAGAAGCUGCUGGAAAAAUCCGGCUCUUCGCUUUGAUGGAUUCAAUAACACAAAGUGUUAUGAGUCCUCUCCAUGAUUACAUGUUUGCCAUCUUAAGGAAUAUUCCUAACGAUGGGACAUUUGAUCAAGAGGCAUCAAUUGCUAGAUCCCAAGAAAAGGCCGUUACCGCGGGCAAGGCAUUCAGUUAUGAUCUGACUGCUGCUACGGAUCGACUACCUGUAAUCCUUACUGCGUUCAUACUCUCCACAAUCGUGGGGAUUAGAACGUUUGGGGGUCUUUGGAGGUCAAUUUUGGUCAAAAGACCUUUUGGUUUCAACAGCAAUGUUGCUGAGAAAUUGAAAGUCUCUGACGGUCCGUACUUCUACGAGGUAGGGCAACCUAUGGGUGCUCUAUCUUCUUGGCCCGGUCUUGCCUUAACGCAUCACUGGAUUGUCCAAGUUGCCGCUUUUAGAGUUACAAAUUCUAAGAGUUGGAACACCGAGUAUGAAAUACUUGGUGAUGAUAUCGUAAUAUUCAAUGAACUUAUCGCUCAAGAAUAUCUAAAUAUCAUGGCUGUAAUCGGGUGUGAGAUUAAUUUAAAUAAAUCAAUCUCCUCCCGAUGCCGUCCCGUUUUCGAAUUCGCAAAACGAACCUGUUGGGGCUUUGCAAUAGUAAGUGGAAUCUCCCUCGCUCAAAUAAGAGCGGGUUGGAGAAUCGGGGGUCGUGUAGCUAAUGCUCUGCAAUUUGCAAGAGCAGGACUACUAGAACCCGGUGAAUCCCUGUUGCAAGCUAUCCUUUCUAGAAAUACCUUUUCAAAAGGUAGAGUAUUGCCAGGUUACAAGACGGAGUCAGUAACCUCACAAAAGGCUCUAGCCUUAGGGGUACUGGCGUUGUUAGGGGAGAGAUUCCGAUCUGGAAUCAUCCCGCUAAGAACGGUAAUGCACGCGAUCAUAGAUCCUAUUUCUAAGAAUCUAGAUCUGAAAGGGGAUGCUAUCGCUAUCCCUAUCAAAGCGUCAUUACAUGCAGCUUACCAGGCAUUGGUGGAAGGAGAUAAACCUCAGCUCUACCCAUUCUCAAAAGAAUGGAAUAGAGAGCCAAAGUUCCUCGAGAAUGAAGACAAACUGGCGAGCCGGUUGCUUCAUUCCGCACUUAAUAAAGUGAUCAUACUCCGAGACCAAUACAAUUGGUUUAUCGCGGAAAACGCGUCGGAGAUGUACUUUCCCUUAAGUUAUUUAAAUAACUCAAGUGCGAAGUACCUCUAAACGAUCUACCAGGGCCAUACUUAGCCCUAGUGACCGAGAUUGAGCAAUUCUUCGAAAUGCUAAUCGGUUUAGAGAUGAACUGGACAGAUAGUCCAGAGGCUAUAUACCAAGACCUAUAUAUGGAAAUGGAUGCCACACUUUAUUAUGAGGAGGCCCUUGAGCUUCACGAAAGGGUUGAUAAACUCGAGUUUAAACUUAAACCUUAUGAAGGUAAAGUCAAACCCGGGCGGACCGUCCACGAGACUGCACCAAUACUUACUGCUUUACGCGGUAUUCUUGGUACGAGUCUUCGUAGAUGGAACAACCCUCCUAACCCAUCAACUAUUAGUACAUUGAUGCGUUAGGCGUGGCAGGAUUCUCCCGCCUGUUUAAUCAGAUGAAAGGCUCCUCAAUAGAGAGACCGACCCCUAGGGGACGACUCUACGAUGAAGAUUCUCUAUUAUCUACUUCUUGACACUUCGAGCAGUCUUUGUUAAGUUUAUUAACAAUAAAAACCAUGCCCUUAGGUCCGGGUGAAAUACCGGGAAACCAUGGGGGAUAGUUCUUAUCAAAGAACUCCAAGAAACGGAAGAAGUGAUAAAGUGAUCCAACUCGCAUAAAAUCUAUGCGCAUCGGCCUGACCAAGGGCACUGGGUGUUAUACCAGGUAACUUGGAAGGGGACCGACGGUGUGGAAACCUUUCUAUCCGAUUCAUCGGGUGGACUUCUUAUUUUUACAAACCAGAGUGGUUCACUGAAGAACCCUUCUCGGCUUAGUACUAACGAGGCUUCUCUUUACAGAUUAGCGCAGUUAGGACUAAUGUCCGAUCUUAACCUCCAUAAAAGGAGACUUCGGUCUUCGGGUUUGGAUUUGGUUAGGCGGAAUUUCUUUCCGCCAGAAGCCCC